UUAAGCGACUAAGCGUACACGGUGGAUGCCCUGGCAGUCAGAGGCGAUGAAGGACGUGCUAAUCUGCGAUAAGCGUCGGUAAGGUGAUAUGAACCGUUAUAACCGGCGAUUUCCGAAUGGGGAAACCCAGUGUGAUUCGUCACACUAUCAUUAACUGAAUCCAUAGGUUAAUGAGGCGAACCGGGGGAACUGAAACAUCUAAGUACCCCGAGGAAAAGAAAUCAACCGAGAUUCCCCCAGUAGCGGCGAGCGAACGGGGAGCAGCCCAGAGCCUGAAUCAGUAUGUGUGUUAGUGGAAGCGUCUGGAAAGGCGCGCGAUACAGGGUGACAGCCCCGUACACAAAAAUGCACAUGCUGUGAGCUCGAUGAGUAGGGCGGGACACGUGGUAUCCUGUCUGAAUAUGGGGGGACCAUCCUCCAAGGCUAAAUACUCCUGACUGACCGAUAGUGAACCAGUACCGUGAGGGAAAGGCGAAAAGAACCCCGGCGAGGGGAGUGAAAAAGAACCUGAAACCGUGUACGUACAAGCAGUGGGAGCACGCUUAGGCGUGUGACUGCGUACCUUUUGUAUAAUGGGUCAGCGACUUAUAUUCUGUAGCAAGGUUAACCGAAUAGGGGAGCCGAAGGGAAACCGAGUCUUAACUGGGCGUUAAGUUGCAGGGUAUAGACCCGAAACCCGGUGAUCUAGCCAUGGGCAGGUUGAAGGUUGGGUAACACUAACUGGAGGACCGAACCGACUAAUGUUGAAAAAUUAGCGGAUGACUUGUGGCUGGGGGUGAAAGGCCAAUCAAACCGGGAGAUAGCUGGUUCUCCCCGAAAGCUAUUUAGGUAGCGCCUCGUGAAUUCAUCUCCGGGGGUAGAGCACUGUUUCGGCAAGGGGGUCAUCCCGACUUACCAACCCGAUGCAAACUGCGAAUACCGGAGAAUGUUAUCACGGGAGACACACGGCGGGUGCUAACGUCCGUCGUGAAGAGGGAAACAACCCAGACCGCCAGCUAAGGUCCCAAAGUCAUGGUUAAGUGGGAAACGAUGUGGGAAGGCCCAGACAGCCAGGAUGUUGGCUUAGAAGCAGCCAUCAUUUAAAGAAAGCGUAAUAGCUCACUGGUCGAGUCGGCCUGCGCGGAAGAUGUAACGGGGCUAAACCAUGCACCGAAGCUGCGGCAGCGACGCUGAUGCGUUGUUGGGUAGGGGAGCGUUCUGUAAGCCUGUGAAGGUGUGCUGUGAGGCAUGCUGGAGGUAUCAGAAGUGCGAAUGCUGACAUAAGUAACGAUAAAGCGGGUGAAAAGCCCGCUCGCCGGAAGACCAAGGGUUCCUGUCCAACGUUAAUCGGGGCAGGGUGAGUCGACCCCUAAGGCGAGGCCGAAAGGCGUAGUCGAUGGGAAACAGGUUAAUAUUCCUGUACUUGGUGUUACUGCGAAGGGGGGACGGAGAAGGCUAUGUUGGCCGGGCGACGGUUGUCCCGGUUUAAGCGUGUAGGCUGGUUUUCCAGGCAAAUCCGGAAAAUCAAGGCUGAGGCGUGAUGACGAGGCACUACGGUGCUGAAGCAACAAAUGCCCUGCUUCCAGGAAAAGCCUCUAAGCAUCAGGUAACAUCAAAUCGUACCCCAAACCGACACAGGUGGUCAGGUAGAGAAUACCAAGGCGCUUGAGAGAACUCGGGUGAAGGAACUAGGCAAAAUGGUGCCGUAACUUCGGGAGAAGGCACGCUGAUAUGUAGGUGAAGUCCCUCGCGGAUGGAGCUGAAAUCAGUCGAAGAUACCAGCUGGCUGCAACUGUUUAUUAAAAACACAGCACUGUGCAAACACGAAAGUGGACGUAUACGGUGUGACGCCUGCCCGGUGCCGGAAGGUUAAUUGAUGGGGUCAGCGCAAGCGAAGCUCUUGAUCGAAGCCCCGGUAAACGGCGGCCGUAACUAUAACGGUCCUAAGGUAGCGAAAUUCCUUGUCGGGUAAGUUCCGACCUGCACGAAUGGCGUAAUGAUGGCCAGGCUGUCUCCACCCGAGACUCAGUGAAAUUGAACUCGCUGUGAAGAUGCAGUGUACCCGCGGCAAGACGGAAAGACCCCGUGAACCUUUACUAUAGCUUGACACUGAACAUUGAGCCUUGAUGUGUAGGAUAGGUGGGAGGCUUUGAAGUGUGGACGCCAGUCUGCAUGGAGCCGACCUUGAAAUACCACCCUUUAAUGUUUGAUGUUCUAACGUUGACCCGUAAUCCGGGUUGCGGACAGUGUCUGGUGGGUAGUUUGACUGGGGCGGUCUCCUCCUAAAGAGUAACGGAGGAGCACGAAGGUUGGCUAAUCCUGGUCGGACAUCAGGAGGUUAGUGCAAUGGCAUAAGCCAGCUUGACUGCGAGCGUGACGGCGCGAGCAGGUGCGAAAGCAGGUCAUAGUGAUCCGGUGGUUCUGAAUGGAAGGGCCAUCGCUCAACGGAUAAAAGGUACUCCGGGGAUAACAGGCUGAUACCGCCCAAGAGUUCAUAUCGACGGCGGUGUUUGGCACCUCGAUGUCGGCUCAUCACAUCCUGGGGCUGAAGUAGGUCCCAAGGGUAUGGCUGUUCGCCAUUUAAAGUGGUACGCGAGCUGGGUUUAGAACGUCGUGAGACAGUUCGGUCCCUAUCUGCCGUGGGCGCUGGAGAACUGAGGGGGGCUGCUCCUAGUACGAGAGGACCGGAGUGGACGCAUCACUGGUGUUCGGGUUGUCAUGCCAAUGGCACUGCCCGGUAGCUAAAUGCGGAAGAGAUAAGUGCUGAAAGCAUCUAAGCACGAAACUUGCCCCGAGAUGAGUUCUCCCUGACUCCUUGAGAGUCCUGAAGGAACGUUGAAGACGACGACGUUGAUAGGCCGGGUGUGUAAGCGCAGCGAUGCGUUGAGCUAACCGGUACUAAUGAACCGUGAGGCUUAACCUU
rnacentral:rRNA from 1 species